GAUCUUUAUAUAUUAAGUAAUUUAAUAAAAAUAAGAUAAUUUUUUUUUUAAGUUAUUAAUAUAUUUUAUUGGGGUAAUAAUAAAAUUUUAAUAAUUUUUAAUUUUUAAAUUCAAUAAUAUUUGUUUUUUUGAUCCAUUAAUAUUGAUUAUAAAGUUAAGUUACCUUAGGGAUAACAGCGUAAUGAUUUUUGAGAGUUCUUAUCAAUAAAAUAGUUUGU
rnacentral:rRNA from 1 species